ensembl:snRNA U6 U6 spliceosomal RNA
GUGCUCGAGUCCGCAGCACAUAUACUAAAACUGGAACGACACAAAGAAGAUUAGCAUGGGCCCUGCCCAAGGAUGACACGCAAAUUCAUGAAGCAUUCCAUAUUUUU